rfam:Turicibacter sanguinis PC909 contig00158, whole genome shotgun sequence.
GGUGGUUAUCAAGGUUAUUUUCAUAUAUAACGCAAAUAUGGUGCGUAAGUUUCUACCCGAUUUCCGUAAAAAAUCGGACUAUGAGAAGAGAUAGAACAAGG